AUUUAUGCCAUAAAUGAUAUAACCCAAAAAAAUUAGGCGCCCAAUUAAAAUAAUAUCCGGCGCCAAUCACCAAAAACUCAAGCGGCAUGAAUCUUUUUUAAUAUCAAAAUGCAAACUGUUUGGCUUCUAAUUGGGAACAUAGAGAGCUGUAAAUCGGAUAAUAGAAGAGAGGGAGAAGAUUUCGAUCUGGAACAGAGCUCUAGGGUUCGAAAGGGAGACUGGUUCAGUGGCGCAAGAUUUCGAUCUGGAACAGUGUGCUCCCUCCGGCGGUGAGACUGGUUCGGCGACGGCGACGAUCGACGGUUCGAAGGGGAAGGGUUGCGUUCUUGAUAUGAGAAAGAGCAAGAACGGCUUAGAAACCCGCCCAGUAGUGAAGAAGAUGAGCAAAGCUAUCCACCAGCCUCUGCUUCAGUCUUCACCUCCAACAAUAAAAUUGAGAAUUUGAAUUGGAAAAUUGAAUUUGUUAAAAAAGAUUUCAGCUUUCGAAUAUUUAUUGCUUUACUUGUCAAUUGUCGUGUUCACAAAAAAAGAAAAAAUAAUAUUGAUUGCUUUGCUUGUGAGUUGUGAUCAAUUUUGUCCUUACAAUCUACUUUGCUUGUGAUAUAUAAAAGGUGAUCAAUAUUCUUUUGA